GGGGCGUGGCAGCGCGGAAAGGGGACCGGGCUGGGGCCGGUGACGGCGGGGGCGCGGUUCCACCAGGGCUCGAGGCUCCACGAGGGCACGAGGCUCCUUGGAGCCUUGGGUCUCGCCUCGCGGUGAGAAGGCGGCUGGCCGACCUUUGUUCUUUCGAGACAAAGCCCUGAACUUGGGUCCUCGCGCUGCGCAGAUGAAACCAGAACUGAAAAUUGCAGAACUGAGAAUUAUAAUCAAGCUGGGUCCUUAAUGACAUUAUUGAUCCACCGUCCAUCUAUACUAAGCUGCUUCUCCCAAUUAGGAAACUGGAAGGACUACUUCAGCAAAAUAAGGAAAUAAAAAAAGAACAUGGAAGAUGUGGAAAAGAAGAUACAACAAGAAAAGUAGCAAGGAAAAUCCUAAGGUGGCACGAGGGGAUAUCCCAGAACUUCAAGGAAACAACAGUACCGGAAAUGAGGAGGAAGAAAGAGGGCUCCAGAGGCAGCUCAGAAAAAAUUUAAAAAUAAAUAAAUAAUGUUAAAGUGUUUUCAGCAUUAAAAAAAAAAAUGGGAUUGGGGGCUGGGGUUGUAGCUCAGUGGCAGAGCAUUUGCCUAGCAUGUAUAAGGCACUGGGUUCAAUCCUCAGCACCACAUAAAAGUAAAUAAAAUAAAGGUAUUGUGUCCAUCUACAACUAAAAAAAUAUAUAUAUGAAAUUGGGCUGGGGUUGUGGCUCAGCGGUAGAGCAUUUGCCUAGCAUAUGCAAGGCCUUGGGUUCGAUCCCCAGCACCACAUAAAAAUAAAUAAAGUUAUGGCAUCCAACUACAACUAAAUAAAUAUUUAUAUAUAUAUA